UGGGGAAUAUUGGACAAUGGGCGCAAGCCUGAUCCAGCCAUGCCGCGUGAGUGAUGAAGGCCCUAGGGUUGUAAAGCUCUUUCACCGGUGAAGAUAAUGACGGUUACCGGAGAAGAAGCCCCGGCUAACUUCGUGCCAGCAGCCGCGGUAAUACGAAGGGGGCUAGCGUUGUUCGGAUUUACUGGGCGUAAAGCGCACGUAGGCGGACUUUUAAGUCAGGGGUGAAAUCCCGGGGCUCAACCCCGGAACUGCCUUUGAUACUGGAAGUCUUGAGUAUGGUAGAGGUGAGUGGAAUUCCGAGUGUAGAGGUGAAAUUCGUAGAUAUUCGGAGGAACACCAGUGGCGAAGGCGGCUCACUGGACCAUUACUGACGCUGAGGUGCGAAAGCGUGGGGAGCAAACAGG
rnacentral:rRNA from 1 species